UACAGGGGGGGCAAGCGUUGUUCGGAAUUACUGGGCGUAAAGGGCUCGUAGGCGGCCAACUAAGUCCGACGUGAAAUCCCAAAGCUUAACUUUGGAACUGCGUCGGAUACUGGAUGGCUUGAAUUCGGGAGAGGGAUGCAGAAUUCCAGGUGUAGCGGUGAAAUGCGUAGAUAUCUGGAGGAAUACCGGUGGCGAAGGCGGCAUCCUGGACCGACAUUGACGCUGAGGAGCGAAAGCUAGGGGAGCAAAGCGGGG
rnacentral:rRNA from 1 species